rnacentral:rRNA from 1 species
GACGAACGCUGGCGGCGUGCUUAACACAUGCAAGUCGAACGGAAAGGCCCUGCUUUUGUGGGGUGCUCGAGUGGCGAACGGGUGAGUAACACGUGAGUAACCUGCCCUUGACUUUGGGAUAACUUCAGGAAACUGGGGCUAAUACCGGAUAGGAGCUCCUGCUGCAUGGUGGGGGUUGGAAAGUUUCGGCGGUUGGGGAUGGACUCGCGGCUUAUCAGCUUGUUGGUGGGGUAGUGGCUUACCAAGGCUUUGACGGGUAGCCGGCCUGAGAGGGUGACCGGCCACAUUGGGACUGAGAUACGGCCCAGACUCCUACGGGAGGCAGCAGUGGGAAUAUUGCACAAUGGGCGGAAGCCCGAUGCAGCAACGCCGCGCGCGGGAUGACGGCCUUCGGGUUGUAAACCGCUUUCGCCUGUGACGAAGCGUGAGUGACGGUAAUGGGUAAAGAAGCACCGGCUAACUACGUG